rnacentral:rRNA from 1 species
UUAAGCGACUAAGCGUACACGGUGGAUGCCCUGGCAGUCAGAGGCGAUGAAGGACGUGCUAAUCUGCGAUAAGCGUCGGUAAGGUGAUAUGAACCGUUAUAACCGGCGAUUUCCGAAUGGGGAAACCCAGUGUGAUUCGACACACUAUCAUUAACUGAAUCCAUAGGUUAAUGAGGCGAACCGGGGGAACUGAAACAUCUAAGUACCCCGAGGAAAAGAAAUCAACCGAGAUUCCCCCAGUAGCGGCGAGCGAACGGGGAGCAGCCCAGAGCCUGAAUCAGUAUGUGUGUUAGUGGAAGCGUCUGGAAAGGCGCGCGAUACAGGGUGACAGCCCCGUACACAAAAAUGCACAUGCUGUGAGCUCGAUGAGUAGGGCGGGACACGUGGUAUCCUGUCUGAAUAUGGGGGGACCAUCCUCCAAGGCUAAAUACUCCUGACUGACCGAUAGUGAACCAGUACCGUGAGGGAAAGGCGAAAAGAACCCCGGCGAGGGGAGUGAAAAAGAACCUGAAACCGUGUACGUACAAGCAGUGGGAGCACGCUUAGGCGUGUGACUGCGUACCUUUUGUAUAAUGGGUCAGCGACUUAUAUUCUGUAGCAAGGUUAACCGAAUAGGGGAGCCGAAGGGAAACCGAGUCUUAACUGGGCGUUAAGUUGCAGGGUAUAGACCCGAAACCCGGUGAUCUAGCCAUGGGCAGGUUGAAGGUUGGGUAACACUAACUGGAGGACCGAACCGACUAAUGUUGAAAAAUUAGCGGAUGACUUGUGGCUGGGGGUGAAAGGCCAAUCAAACCGGGAGAUAGCUGGUUCUCCCCGAAAGCUAUUUAGGUAGCGCCUCGUGAAUUCAUCUCCGGGGGUAGAGCACUGUUUCGGCAAGGGGGUCAUCCCGACUUACCAACCCGAUGCAAACUGCGAAUACCGGAGAAUGUUAUCACGGGAGACACACGGCGGGUGCUAACGUCCGUCGUGAAGAGGGAAACAACCCAGACCGCCAGCUAAGGUCCCAAAGUCAUGGUUAAGUGGGAAACGAUGUGGGAAGGCCCAGACAGCCAGGAUGUUGGCUUAGAAGCAGCCAUCAUUUAAAGAAAGCGUAAUAGCUCACUGGUCGAGUCGGCCUGCGCGGAAGAUGUAACGGGGCUAAACCAUGCACCGAAGCUGCGGCAGCGACGCUGAUGCGUUGUUGGGUAGGGGAGCGUUCUGUAAGCCUGCGAAGGUGUGCUGUGAGGCAUGCUGGAGGUAUCAGAAGUGCGAAUGCUGACAUAAGUAACGAUAAAGCGGGUGAAAAGCCCGCUCGCCGGAAGACCAAGGGUUCCUGUCCAACGUUAAUCGGGGCAGGGUGAGUCGACCCCUAAGGCGAGGCCGAAAGGCGUAGUCGAUGGGAAACAGGUUAAUAUUCCUGUACUUGGUGUUACUGCGAAGGGGGGACGGAGAAGGCUAUGUUGGCCGGGCGACGGUUGUCCCGGUUUAAGCGUGUAGGCUGGUUUUCCAGGCAAAUCCGGAAAAUCAAGGCUGAGGCGUGAUGACGAGGCACUACGGUGCUGAAGCAACAAAUGCCCUGCUUCCAGGAAAAGCCUCUAAGCAUCAGGUAACAUCAAAUCGUACCCCAAACCGACACAGGUGGUCAGGUAGAGAAUACCAAGGCGCUUGAGAGAACUCGGGUGAAGGAACUAGGCAAAAUGGUGCCGUAACUUCGGGAGAAGGCACGCUGAUAUGUAGGUGAAGUCCCUCGCGGAUGGAGCUGAAAUCAGUCGAAGAUACCAGCUGGCUGCAACUGUUUAUUAAAAACACAGCACUGUGCAAACACGAAAGUGGACGUAUACGGUGUGACGCCUGCCCGGUGCCGGAAGGUUAAUUGAUGGGGUUAGCGCAAGCGAAGCUCUUGAUCGAAGCCCCGGUAAACGGCGGCCGUAACUAUAACGGUCCUAAGGUAGCGAAAUUCCUUGUCGGGUAAGUUCCGACCUGCACGAAUGGCGUAAUGAUGGCCAGGCUGUCUCCACCCGAGACUCAGUGAAAUUGAACUCGCUGUGAAGAUGCAGUGUACCCGCGGCAAGACGGAAAGACCCCGUGAACCUUUACUAUAGCUUGACACUGAACAUUGAGCCUUGAUGUGUAGGAUAGGUGGGAGGCUUUGAAGUGUGGACGCCAGUCUGCAUGGAGCCGACCUUGAAAUACCACCCUUUAAUGUUUGAUGUUCUAACGUUGACCCGUAAUCCGGGUUGCGGACAGUGUCUGGUGGGUAGUUUGACUGGGGCGGUCUCCUCCUAAAGAGUAACGGAGGAGCACGAAGGUUGGCUAAUCCUGGUCGGACAUCAGGAGGUUAGUGCAAUGGCAUAAGCCAGCUUGACUGCGAGCGUGACGGCGCGAGCAGGUGCGAAAGCAGGUCAUAGUGAUCCGGUGGUUCUGAAUGGAAGGGCCAUCGCUCAACGGAUAAAAGGUACUCCGGGGAUAACAGGCUGAUACCGCCCAAGAGUUCAUAUCGACGGCGGUGUUUGGCACCUCGAUGUCGGCUCAUCACAUCCUGGGGCUGAAGUAGGUCCCAAGGGUAUGGCUGUUCGCCAUUUAAAGUGGUACGCGAGCUGGGUUUAGAACGUCGUGAGACAGUUCGGUCCCUAUCUGCCGUGGGCGCUGGAGAACUGAGGGGGGCUGCUCCUAGUACGAGAGGACCGGAGUGGACGCAUCACUGGUGUUCGGGUUGUCAUGCCAAUGGCACUGCCCGGUAGCUAAAUGCGGAAGAGAUAAGUGCUGAAAGCAUCUAAGCACGAAACUUGCCCCGAGAUGAGUUCUCCCUGAC